rnacentral:lncRNA from 1 species
CGCAAGUGAAUUUUGAUUUAAGGUUAAGAGGAAUGAAGCCCCACCCCCUUAAAAAUCAGAAGGGUGAAGGUUAGUUAGGUAAAAAGUUGCUUCAACGCAUGCGUUUCCCUCUCGCUCGAAUGGGAUAACGAGUUGGUAAGCAAACCAGUAUUCACCAAAUAAAGUUCUGCUAAAAUAUAGGCAUGUGAAUCACGGGCUAACCUAUUAGAAUAUUUAUGUCCAAGUUGAAGCGCACGGGCAAUUAUUAGUUUAUAUGUACAUAAACAACCGGGAAUGUGAGAGAUAGGAUGGUUCAGUGCAGCACUACAAAAUGUCANNNN